rnacentral:tRNA from 1 species
UGAGCUAUAGUUUAAAUAAAAACAUAUGAUUUGCACUCAUAAAAAGUUAAAUCUUAACUUGCUCCG